rnacentral:lncRNA from 1 species
UAGAAUGUAACUCGGUCAAGUCUAGAAGUCAAUAAAGUUGCUAAAUUAUGAAAAUGCAGGACAUUCAAGUCUACGUUAAUAUUGUUUUUAUAUAGUUUCUUUUAUUUCAAAAAAAUGAAAAGGAAGAAGAAAAAUAUCAAAUCUUAAAAAAGGGAGGAGACAAUCGAAAAAAUCGUGUCUUGGAGAAAAAAGAAAAAAUAUGAAAAAAGUCUCUGACUAAAU